rnacentral:lncRNA from 1 species
GUCUUCCUAAUUACAUCCACAGGAAUUUCAGCAUGAAGCCGUGCUGCAGUCCCGGUUGUGUCGCUUUCCUGCUCGCCGUUUGGCUGCUGUUGAUUCCGGCUUUCUUGGUUAUUUUCCUUCCGAAUAAGUUAUUGCUGCUGCAGGGAAGGUGUCCCAUUGCUCAGGGCUAGAGCGGAGGGGAGCGAAGGGGAAGUUUCUUGGGAAGCACUCCCAUCGCGCUCGGAAAGAAAGUGGCUCAGUGUCCUCCUAAUGCAUUUCAUUUCCCCUCUGCCCUCUCCCCCUGCUAGGACUCACCAGAUCUUGGGAGUUUCUUGCUGCAUUAAUUUACUAAACUAAAAAAAAAAAAAAAAAAAGGGGGGGGGGGUGGAGAAGAGGGAGAGCAGAGGGGAGGGGGUAACUCAGCCUCUCCACCAUCCCAAGGCCCUCCUCUUAGCAGUGCUCAUUGGUCUCAGGGCUGAAAAAAAUACUCUAGGACGUGGUUGGAUAAACGCAUAUUGUUCAGCAGAGGCUGUUAACCUUUAAAGCGCUGAUACGUUUUGUUUUAUUUCAGCUUUUUUAACUCAAAUCGCUGUCUUUUUAAGAACACUCUGAAAUCGUCUCCCUUGACAUGGCAAGUGUAACGUGCCUUAAGUCUCCAUCUCGUGGAAGAUCUGCUUGACUAGCAUUUGCUAUGUGUUGCUGUUGGCUUUUAAGAAGCAUCUGUGUGUUGUUUCUCUCUUUUAUUUUUUCCUCUUUUUCUUUCUCUCUAUUUUUGCUUUUCUUUUUUCUUUUUCACCCAUUUUGCAAAGAGGUUUGGCAAACACCAGAGCCACCAAGGCUGGGGCAGGCUCUCCAUCAUUCCACUUAUACUGAUACUGUUGACCUGAGUUUCUUCUGUGCUUGUCUCCGCUCUACCAAAGUGCAGAAUUUUACCUGUCUCCAAUCACAGCCCUAUGACCCUUCCCUGGUCUGUGGGAUGCUGCCUCCAGUGCUGUCUGGUGAUGGAAAUCCUAUCUUCAUGCAGUGCUAA